AACGAACGCUGGCGGCGUGCCUAACACAUGCAAGUCGAGCGAGAAAGUCCGCAAGGAUGAGUAAAGCGGCGAACGGGUGAGUAACACGUAGGUAACCUACCCUUGAGACCGGGACAACCUGUCGAAAGACGGGCUAAUACCGGAUAAGACCACGUCCUCUUCGGAGGAUGAGGUAAAAGUUGGCCUCUGUAUACACGCUAACACUGAUGGAUGGGCCUGCGUACCAUUAGCUAGUUGGUAGGGUAACGGCCUACCAAGGCUACGAUGGUUAGCUGAACUUGGAGGAUGAUCAGACACACUGGGACUGAAACACGGUCCAGACUCCUGCGGGAGGCAGCAGUGGGGAAUCUUGCGCAAUGGGGGAAACCCUGACGCAGCAACGCCGCGUGGGUGAUGAAGGCCUUCGGGUCGUAAAGCUCUGUCGGAGGGAACGAAACCGUCCGGGGUGAACAAUCCCGGGAUUUGACGGUACCCUCAAAGGAAGCACCGGCUAACCACGUGCCAGCCGCCGCCGUAAAAC
rnacentral:rRNA from 1 species